UUCACAAUAACCUUUUUGUGAAGUCACCCAUAAGUGUGAAGAAACUAAAUGAGACACUAUUUCACAUAAAGGCUCUGAUGCAAGUAAAAGGUCAUAAAUUCAGUGGCACUGCAGGUCUAGAAGAGCAAACGGCUGAGGCCUUCGGUGCUGCUCUGUUGGCAGCCUGUUGGCAAAAUGGCCUUUCACAGCAAACUCAGAAGAGAAGCAGCACUGCACCAUGAGCAAAUGCUAACCACUUUCUUUGAUUUGGCUUUAUAAGGCAGAGGAAAUAUGAAAAGGUGGAUUUCUCAGAAAUUCUUGUGGGGCAUAAAAGAGGAGGGAAAAACAACAACACCACACCAAGCGCAGAGCAAGCGUCUAUGUUGGUUGGGUGAUAGGGGCUUUUUCCACCCUGCCAGCCUGGGCCCUGAGCCCAUACCACAUGAGAGGAGGGUGGAGCAACACACGCGCUAAAACCCCUCAUCUACACUAUCAGACUACUCAAGUGUUCACGCUUCAAAAAGGAUGCAAAGGUAUCAUAAAAGUGGUCCAUACGACGUAUGCACUAUGUUCCAAAACUUUUGAAGUCUGAUAGCUUUAUGUUAGAAACAGACACAAUUAAAUUACAUGCUUCCCUCCAAAAAGGUGUUAACCACUGCCCCUAAAUCAAUCAAUCAAUGAGUUGAAGCUCAGAAGUGAAUCAAUUUGAUGUCAGAUUAGAGUGAACUGGAUCAGCUGCUUUAAAAAAAAAAAAAAAAAAAGAAUCACACACACAGCUAUUAAAUAACUUGGAAUAUACCACGACACGGAUAACAUUUAUGACACUAAUAUGGCCUCUUUUUUUCAUUUUCAAGCUUAUAUUCUUUCAAAAUUCCUCUUUUGUGUUCCACAGA